rnacentral:rRNA from 1 species
ACGGAGGGUGCAAGCGUUGUUCGGAAUUAUUGGGCGUAAAGAGCGUGUAGGCGGCCGGGUAAGUCAGAUGUGAAAUCCUUUCGCUUAACGGAAGAAGUGCAUUUGAUACUGCCUGGCUAGAGUUCGGAAGAGGAGAGUGGAAUUCCUGGUGUAGAGGUGAAAUUCGUAGAUAUCAGGAGGAACACCGGUGGCGAAGGCGGCUCUCUGGUCCGAUACUGACGCUGAGACGCGAAAGCGUGGGGAGCAAACAG